ensembl:lncRNA
GAGAGUUUGGACUUUGUAUCUGUAUGCCCAUUAUGCUCCCAAGCUAGACUCUUCUAGAUGAAUUCCUCUUGUAAUUACUGCAUUAGGAAUAGAGACACAUCCUGCCUCCAGCAGCACUUUUAACAGUAACUUCUUUUUUGUCCCAACAGCGUAUGAUCAGAUAGAUGAAAGCAGGCCUAUGGCAAGUUGGGAAACAAAAUGCUGAUAAUAUGAGUGUAUUUUUUCUUCUCUAAGUGUGAUGGGAAAACUGAGUGCAUUUCAUUAUGCCAUUAUCUUCCGUUCCUGUUUGCUUACCAUAAAUUACCCACAAAAGUUGCGUGUGCUUCUCAGGUUCGCUCCAGUGACAGAAUGGCUGCAAUGGAAAUACAC